UACAGAGGGUGCGAGCGUUGUCCGGAAUCACUGGGCGUAAAGGGCGCGUAGGCGGCCGGAGAAGUCGGUGGUGAAAGCUCGGGGCUCAACUCCGAGUCGGCCACCGAUACUGUUCGGCUCGAGUUUGGUAGAGGCAGAUGGAAUUCCGGGUGUAGCGGUGGAAUGCGUAGAGAUCCGGAAGAACACCGGUGGCGAAGGCGGUCUCUGGCCGAAGACUG
rnacentral:rRNA from 1 species